CACCCACAUUGUCAAUGCCCGCUUACCCUGUCUCUAGUCAGCCAGUUGGUGCCUAUCCAUCACGACAAUUUACAACUGGAGGUCCUAUUCCUAAUGCUGCUCCUGCUAGUUAUGCGGGAAAUCCAGUUCCAUGGGGACCACCAGUUCCUCCUCCUCCCCCUUAUGCCCCUUAUGCCCCUCCUCCCCCUCCUCCUCCUGGCUCAACCAUUUAUCCUCCUGUUCAUGGUCAGCCUAUGCCACCUUAUGGUUUGCAAUAUCCCCCACAAAUGCAGACGGUUCCUCCUGGUGUUGCACCUCCACCUCCACCUGUGACUUCUAGUGAAACAGCACAAAGUUUUCCACCAGG
rnacentral:lncRNA from 1 species